rnacentral:tRNA from 1 species
CAGGACUUAGCUGAGACAGAAAAGCAUCUCCCUUACACUGAGAAAGCAUCCGUGCAAAUCGGAUAGCCCUGAC